AUUUUUUUUAAAUUAGAAGUUGCAGGUGUAUAUUGUUUCCGUUUAUAUAUUUGUUGUAAAUUGGAGAAAACUUUAUGCGUCCACAGAAUCGAUUUAUACGGUGUAUUUCGUUGAAUCACGAAUUUAUAAACAAAAAAAAACCAAAUCCAAUCUAUAAAUUCAGAUUUCUCGAAUUUCCGAAUCUCGUUGUACACCGCUUGUAGUAGCUACUGGAUAGUCACACAAAUUCUGUGGAAGCAGAGGCGAGGUUUAGUGUUGAAUUUUGGGUUCUCUCUCUCUCUCUCUCUCUCUCUCUCAAUUGAGUUUAGGGCAAACAACGAGGACUACUUACUGGCUGUGCAACCUAAGUGAAAGUAAAUUAUGGGCUAUAUUGUGAUAUCGUUGCCGGUGAUUUUGUUGUUCUUGAUCAUAGCUAUCGCGGCUUACCUUUUCGGUAGGGCCAGAGGUCGUACUGAAGCAACAGGAGUUCCCCAGUAUUAUGGCCCUCCGGCUCCCCCAUUCGGAGUUCAAUCUCAUGACCCCCAGAAAUAGGGUUUGCACAAGUUGAGUAGUUGUAUAUACCUUGAUACGAAAAUGGACUAGUAGCUAGAAAUAAGGUCACAUUUGAUUUGGGAUAAAUGGGCAGAAUAGGACUAUUUCAUCCUGGUAUAAAACUAUUUCCCAUUAGAUUUUAUGACCCAAGGGCCAUUUAUCCUGUAUAUGUGGAUUAUGGGAGCUUCUAUUUGCACACAUAAUAUACACUUUUUGCACAUCCUCUGUACUACACUUUUUGUACAUCCUCUUCAUUAAGUGUGUGUAUAGAGUGCGUAAAUAGAAGCUCCCGUGGAUUAUUGUCCCAGAGAAAAAUUUUAUUGCAAAAUACCUAAAAUAUCCUUGCUGAAAUAUCUUAUCCUACCGCAUCAUCAUAACUGCGAAUCAAACAUAGCCUACCAGAACUUCCUUGUCAUAAUGUAUAGUCUUUGGGGAUUGCAUCAUUGGUGUGUAAUGGACUAGGAUUGUAAUUUAGUGUAAGUUUUUAAAUAAAUUGUAAAUCAGUGAUAAAGUUUACUAUUUAAUAAUUGAAAUGAUCUGCUUUUUCAUGAUUUUA